rnacentral:rRNA from 1 species
CCUACGGGGUGCAGCAGUGGGGAAUAUUGGACAAUGGGGGCAACCCUGAUCCAGCCAUGCCGCGUGUGUGAAGAAGGCCCUCGGGUUGUAAAGCACUUUCAGUGAGGAAGAACGCCUGGUGGUUAAUACCCAUCAGGAAAGACAUCACUCACAGAAGAAGCACCGGCUAACUCCGUGCCAGCAGCCGCGGUAAUACGGAGGGUGCGAGCGUUAAUCGGAAUUACUGGGCGUAAAGCGCGCGUAGGUGGCUUGAUAAGCCGGUUGUGAAAGCCCCGGGCUCAACCUGGGAACGGCAUCCGGAACUGUCAAGCUAGAGUGCAGGAGAGGAAGGUAGAAUUCCCGGUGUAGCGGUGAAAUGCGUAGAGAUCGGGAGGAAUACCAGUGGCGAAGGCGGCCUUCUGGACUGACACUGACACUGAGGUGCGAAAGCGUGGGUAGCAAACAGGAUUAGAUACCCUAGUAGUC